UGACUCAAGUUUUCCUUCAACUUCGUAUAAAUCUUUCGCCUUUUACUAAAGAUUUCCGUGGAGGGGGACCGUUGUGAGUUUAUUGUAUUUUUGGGGUGCUCUGCGCACAGCAGAGCU